UACGUAGGUGGCGAGCGUUGUCCGGAUUUACUGGGCGUAAAGAGCGCGCAGGCGGUCGUACAAGUCGCGUGUGAAAGCCCCCGGCUCAACUGGGGAGGGUCACGCGAUACUGUUCGACUCGAAGGCAGGAGAGGGAAGUGGAAUUCCCGGGUGUAGUGGUGAAAUGCGUAGAUAUCGGGAGGAACACCAGUGGCGAAGGCGACUUCCUGGCCUGUUCUUGACGCUGAGGCGCGAAAGCUAGGGUAGCAACGGG
rnacentral:rRNA from 1 species